rnacentral:rRNA from 1 species
UACGAAGGGGGCUAGCGUUGCUCGGAAUCACUGGGCGUAAAGGGUGCGUAGGCGGGUUUUUAAGUCAGAGGUGAAAUCCUGGAGCUCAACUCCAGAACUGCCUUUGAUACUGAGAAUCUUGAGUACGGGAGAGGUGAGUGGAACUGCGAGUGUAGAGGUGAAAUUCGUAGAUAUUCGCAAGAACACCAGUGGCGAAGGCGGCUCACUGGCCCGUAACUGACGCUGAGGCACGAAAGCGUGGGGAGCGAACAGG